rnacentral:rRNA from 1 species
CCGGAUUUACUGGCGUAAAGCGCUGUAGGCGCUUCGUAAGUUGGGCGUGAAAGCUCCGGGCUUAACCCGGAGAGGCCGUCCAAUACUGCGGAGCUCGAGGGUGCCAGAGGAAGGUGGAAUUCCUGGUGUAGCGGUGAAAUGCGUAGAUAUCAGGAGGAACACCCGUGGCGAAGGCGGCUUUCUGGGGCAUUCCUGACGCUGAGAAGCGAAAGCUAGGGGAGCAAACAGGAUUAGAUACCCUGGUAGUCCUAGCCGUAAACGAUGGAUGCUAGGUGUUGGCGGACAAAAACCCGUCAGUGCCGAAGCUAACGCGUUAAGCAUCCCGCCUGGGGAGUACGGCCGCAAGGCUAAAACUCAAACGGAAUUGACGGGGACCCGCACAAGCAGCGGAGCGUGUGGUUUAAUUCGAUGCUACACGAAGAACCUUACCCAGGCUUGACAUGCAGGUAGUAGUGAACCGAAAGGGGAACGACCCGCAAGGGAGCCUGCACAGGUGUUGCAUGGCUGCCGUCAGCUCGUGUCGUGAGAUGUUGGCUUAAGUGCCCUAACGAGCGCAACCCUUGCUGCCAGUUACACGUGUCUGGCGGGACUGCCGGUCACAAGCCGGAGGAAGGCGGGGACGACGUCAAGUCAGCAUGGCCUUUAUGCCUGGGGCUACACACACGCUACAAUGGGACGGUACAAUGGGUAGCCAAGCCGCGAGGCGGAGCCAAUCCUCAAAACGUCCCUCAGUUCAGAUUGCAGGCUGCAACCCGCCUGCAUGAAGUCGGAGUUGCUAGUAACCGCGCGUCAGCCAUAGUGCGGUGAAUACGUUCCCGGGUCUUGUACACACCGCCCGUCACACUAUGGGAGCUGGCUACACCUGAAGCCGGUAGCCUAACCGCAAGGAGGGCGCCGUCAAAGGUGGGGCUGGUGACUGGAGUGAAGUCGUAACAAGGUAA